rfam:Chaetomium globosum CBS 148.51 scaffold_1 genomic scaffold, whole genome shotgun sequence.
GGUCCGCUGGCUCAAUGGUAGAGCGUUUGACUACGACUUCUGCCUCCUCUGAGAUAUCUUAGGAAGGAGCGAGUCAUCAAGAGGUUCCAGGUUCGAGCCCUGGGCGGAUCG